rnacentral:rRNA from 1 species
UACAGAGGUGGCAAGCGUUGUUCGGAAUUACUGGGCGUAAAGGGCGCGUAGGCGGUCUUGUAAGUCUUGUGUGAAAUCCCUCGGCUUAACUGAGGAACUGCACGGGAUACUGCGAGACUUGAGAUCGGGAGAGGGAAGCGGAAUUCCGGGUGUAGCGGUGAAAUGCGUAGAGAUCCCCAAGAACACCAGUUGCGAAGGCGGCUGACUGGACACAUAUUGACGCUGAGGCUCGAAAGCAUGGGGAGCAAACAGG